rnacentral:rRNA from 1 species
CCUACGGGUGGCAGCAGUGAGGAAUAUUGGUCAAUGGACGCGAGUCUGAACCAGCCAAGUAGCGUGAAGGAUGACUGCCCUACGGGUUGUAAACUUCUUUUAUAAAGGAAUAAAAUGAGGCACGUGUGCCUUUUUGUAUGUACUUUAUGAAUAAGAAUCGGCUAACUCCGUGCCAGCCGCCUCGGUAAUACGGAGGAUCCGAGCGUUAUCCGGAUUUAUUGGGUUUAAAGGGAGCGUAGAUGGGUUUUUAAGUCAGUUGUGAAAGUUUGCGGCUCAACCGUAAAAUUGCAAUUGAUACUGGAAGCCUUGAGUACAGUUGAGGUAGGCGGAAUUCGUGGUGUAGCGGUGAAAUGCUUAGAUAUCACGAAGAACUCCGAUUGCGAAGGCAGGUUACUAAAGUGCCACUGACAUUGAGGCUCGAAAGUGUGGGUAUCAAACAGGAUUAGAUACCCUUGUAGUC